rnacentral:rRNA from 1 species
UACGUAGGGUGCAAGCGUUGUCCGGAAUUAUUGGGCGUAAAGAGCUCGUAGGCGGCCUGUCACGUCGGCUGUGAAAACCCGGGGCUCAACCCCGGGCCUGCAGUCGAUACGGGCAGACUAGAGUGUGGUAGGGGAGACUGGAAUUCCUGGUGUAGCGGUGAAAUGCGCAGAUAUCAGGAGGAACACCGGUGGCGAAGGCGGGUCUCUGGGCCAUAACUGACGCUGAGGAGCGAAAGCGUGGGGAGCGAACAGG